rnacentral:rRNA from 1 species
GACAAAGACUGACGCUCAGGUGCGAGAGCGUGGGGAGCAAACAGGAUUAGAUACCCUGGUAGUCCACGCUGUAAACGAUGUCGAUUUGGAGGUUGUUCCCUUGAAGAGUGGCUUCCGGAGCUAACGCGUUAAAUCGACCGCCUGGGGAGUACGGCCGCAAGGUUAAAACUCAAAUGAAUUGACGGGGGCCCGCACAAGCGGUGGAGCAUGUGGUUUAAUUCGAUGCAACGCGAAGAACCUUACCUACUCUUGACAUCCAGAGAAUUGAUCAGAGAUGCUUAAGUGCCUUCGGGAACUCUGAGACAGGUGCUGCAUGGCUGUCGUCAGCUCGUGUUGUGAAAUGUUGGGUUAAGUCCCGCAACGAGCGCAACCCUUAUCCUUUGUUGCCAGCUAUUCGUGCGGGAACUCAAAGGAAACUGGCGGUUAUAAACCGGAGGAACGGGGGGAUGACCUCAAGUCAUCAUGGGCCUUACGAAUAAGGGUUCCCACGUGCUACAAUGGGGUAUACAAAGAAAAUCGAUCUCCCGAGAACCAGCGGAACUCAUAAAGUACUUUCUAGGACGGAUUGGAAUCUGCCACUCUACUCCCUGAACUCGGAAUCGCUAAUAGAA